rnacentral:hammerhead_ribozyme from 1 species
ACCCAGCUAACGAGUUCCAAAUAGGAUGAAACGCGCGUUCUGGAU